ACAGGGGGAUAACAGUUAGAAAUGACUGCUAAUACCGCAUAAGCGCACAGGACCGCAUGGUCCGGUGUGAAAAACUCCGGUGGUAUGAGAUGGACCCGCGUCUGAUUAGCUGGUUGGCGGGGUAACGGCCCACCAAGGCGACGAUCAGUAGCCGACCUGAGAGGGUGGCCGGCCACAUUGGGACUGAGACACGGCCCAAACUCCUACGGGAGGCAGCAGUGGGGAAUAUUGCACAAUGGGGGAAACCCUGAUGCAGCAACGCCGCGUGAGUGAAGAAGUAUUUCGGUAUGUAAAGCUCUAUCAGCAGGGAAGAAAAAAGACGGUACCUGACUAAGAAGCCCCGGCUAACUACGUGCCAGCAGCCGCGGUAAUACGUAGGGGGCAAGCGUUAUCCGGAUUUACUGGGUGUAAAGGGAGCGUAGACGGCAUAGCAAGUCUGAAGUGAAAGCCCGUGGCUCAACCGCGGAACUGCUUUGGAAACUGUUAAGCUGGAGUACUGGAGAGGCAAGCGGAAUUCCUAGUGUAGCGGUGAAAUGCGUAGAUAUUAGGAGGAACACCAGUGGCGAAGGCGGCUUGCUGGACAGAGACUGACGUUGAGGCUCGAAAGCGUGGGGAGCAAACAGGAUUAGAUACCCUGGUAGUCCACGCGGUAAACGAUGAAUGCUAGGUGUUGGCGGGCAAAGCCCGUCG
rnacentral:rRNA from 1 species